rnacentral:rRNA from 1 species
AACGAACGCUGGCGGCAGGCUUAACACAUGCAAGUCGAACGCAUCCUUCGGGGUGAGUGGCAGACGGGUGAGUAACGCGUGGGAACGUGCCCUUCAGUUCGGGUUAAUCCAGGGAAACUUGGGCUAAUACCGGAUACGUGCGAGAGCAGAAAGAUUUAUCGCUGAAGGGUCGGCCCGCGUCUGAUUAGCUAGUUGGUGGGGUAAUGGCCCACCAAGGCGACGAUCAGUAGCUGGUCUGAGAGGAUGAUCAGCAACAUUGGGACUGGGACCCGGCCCAAACUCCUACGGGAGGCGUCAGUGGGGAAUAGUAGACAAUGGACGCAAGCCUGAGCCAGCCAUGCCGCGUGAGUGAUGAAGGCCUUAGGGUUGUAAAGCUCUUUCGUCCGGGACGAUAAUGACGGUACCGGAAGAAGAAGCCCCGGCUAACUUCGUGCCAGCCGCCGCCGUAA